rnacentral:rRNA from 1 species
CACCAUAGGACUGGCCGUCCCAUAUGAAAAGAUUAUAUUAGAAUUGAAUGAAGCUUUGUUUAUAUAUUGAUAAUGACAGUAUAUAUAUCGUGUCUUGACUAAUUGCGUGCCAGCAGUCGCGGUAAUACGUAAGAGACUAGUGUUAUUCAUCUUAAUUAGGUUUAAAGGGUACCCAGACGGUCAAUAUAGCUUAUAAAAUGUUAGUACUUGACUAGAGUUUUAUGUAAGAGGGCAGUACUUGAGGAGGAGAGAUGAAAUUUCGUGAUACCAAAGGGACUCUGUAAAGGCGAAGGCAGCCCUCUAUGUAAAAACUGACGUUGAAGGACGAAGGCACAGAGAACAAACAGGAUUAGAUACCCAAGUAGUCUUUGCAGUAAAUGAUGAAUGCCAUAGGUUAGAUUAAUCAAAUAUAGUCUAGGGUUAGUCUAGCAAACUAAUGACCUAUACUAUAAUGAAAAAUAUCUGGUCUAUAAAUGAAAGUGUAAGCAUUUCACCUCAAGAGUAAUGUGGCAACGCAGGAAC